ACGGGUGAGUAACACGUGGGAACGUGCCCUUCGGUUCGGAAUAACUCAGGGAAACUUGAGCUAAUACCGGAUACGCCCUUAUGGGGAAAGGUUUACUGCCGAAGGAUCGGCCCGCGUCUGAUUAGCUUGUUGGUGGGGUAACGGCCUACCAAGGCGACGAUCAGUAGCUGGUCUGAGAGGAUGAUCAGCCACACUGGGACUGAGACACGGCCCAGACUCCUACGGGAGGCAGCAGUGGGGAAUAUUGGACAAUGGGCGCAAGCCUGAUCCAGCCAUGCCGCGUGAGUGAUGAAGGCCUUAGGGUUGUAAAGCUCUUUUGUCCGGGACGAUAAUGACGGUACCGGAAGAAUAAGCCCCGGCUAACUUCGUGCCAGCAGCCGCGGUAAUACGAAGGGGGCUAGCGUUGCUCGGAAUCACUGGGCGUAAAGGGCGCGUAGGCGGCCGAUUAAGUCGGGGGUGAAAGCCUGUGGCUCAACCACAGAAUUGCCUUCGAUACUGGUUGGCUUGAGGCCGGAAGAGGACAGCGGAACUGCGAGUGUAGAGGUGAAAUUCGUAGA
rnacentral:rRNA from 1 species